CCUUGAUCAAAUUUCUCUCGGUGAUGCUUCCCUUUUACACAGCCUUCACACACAUUCCUUGAAUCUGCUAUCACAGGUCUUCCCUCUUGUCAAAUACUUUGACAGAGGCUAUAACUUCUUCCACCUUCAGCACAUCAAGGUCCCUUGUCUCUUCAAUGAUAGAGACAAUGGACUUGUAUCUUCUAUUUAAACUCAUUAGGAGCUUCUGCACAAUCCUAAUCUCAGGUUGAUUGUUGAUUUGGGUAGUAGGAGAAAAAGGUUUGCACAGAAGGUUGAAGAAUGGAGAGAGUUGCAGAAAAAGGUAAUUCUUGUAUAUAUUUUCCACACACAACAUGCUUGACAAAAUGCCCCUUAUAAACUGAUUUGGGGAGAACACACGUAUUGUGUGAUCUUUUACAGCCUUUAACAGCUAGGCCUACAGAAAAACAUUUAAUUACUUUUUCUUUUCUUAGUUAGUUACAAAUAACUGAAAUGCAACUAACUAAUCAUUACAUAACAACUUUCUUCAGCUUCUUC